ensembl:lncRNA
AUGUUGCAAGACAAACACGAGGUUGAAAAACUGGUACGUAACAAAGACGCAAUUCGAUUCAUGAAAGUUUUGCGAGGCAGCCCCGCCUACUGGCAACAAACUACCAAAGACUUGUUUGCGAUGAUAAGGCAAUGUGGAACGCCGACUUUCUUUUGUACAUUUUCUGCAGCCGAAAUGCGCUGGAAAGAAAUAAUUACCGCUAUUAAAACUCAACAAGGCGAACAAGUGAAUUUCGAUGAGCUCGACUGGUCGUCCAAAUGCGAUAUUUUGCGAAGUAAUCCUGUGACAACGAUGCGCAUGUUUGACAAACGCGUUGAAGCGCUGUUCAGAGAUUUGAUCAUGUCACCUGCACAACCCAUCGGCAAAGUCGUUGAUUACUUUUACCGUUUAGAAUUUCAGCACAGAGGUUCCCCUCACAUACAUUGUCUCAUUUGGAUAGAAGGAGCGCCAGUGUUUGAGGAGGACUCGGAUAAGACGGUUUGCGAUUUCAUUUCCAAAUACAUCACCGCCGAGAUGCCUGAUCCAAACACGCAACCUGAACUUCACAAAAAAGUUAGCGGGGUUCAAAUGCACAGCAAGACACACUCAAAGACGUGUAUUAAAUAUCUCGGUGCCAACUGCCGUUUUGGAUUUCCGAAAUUACCUUCCCCCGAGACGAUGAUAGUAAGAUCUGAAGAAUGUGACGGUGAAGAUGAAAGAACGUCGGUGGCGACAAGAAAGCUCACAGCACUAAACCGGUUGCUUAACAAUCCCGAGAGCGAAUCUCUGAGUUUAGAGCAGAUAUUGUCCUUGUGCGAUCUUACAGUUGACCAAUACCAGGAUUGUCUCCGUGUUAAGGCAAAAAAAAGUGAGGUGGUACUAAAGCGUGAUCCCAAAGAAGCUUACGUAAACGGCUAUAAUCCAACACUGCUCUUAGCGUGGGACGCAAACAUGGAUAUACAGUAUAUUCUAAACCCGUACUCUUGCAUUGCCUAUAUCUGCAGCUACAUCAGCAAGGCCGAGCACGGUUUAAGCGAAUACCUUAAGACAAUGAUUGAGAACUCAAAUCAUGAAAAUCUCAAUGAAAGUGACGAGAUGAAACAAGUGAUGCAGGCGUACUCCAAAAAAAGAGAGGUCAGUGCUCAAGAGUGCGUCGCUCGUGCAUGUAGUCUGAACAUGAAACGGUGUUCCCGCAGCGUGAUAUUUGUACAGACCGAUGACAACCCGCUGAAAAUGAGUUAUCCCAUGUCGCACCUAGAGAACAAAACACCAGACUCGGUUAAUGUGUGGAUGACAGGCUUACCCGACAAGUACAAAUCGAGACCAGAAUCGCCAGAGUUUGAGUCAAUGUGUUUGGCUGAUUUCGCUGCCACUUGUAGAAUUGUCUAUGGCAAACAGGCCCAAGGUGCAAAAGCUAUUCCCCUGCUCAAUGAAAUGGGAUUCGUUCAGAAGAGAACAAAGGAUAAGCCCGCUGUCAUCAAGUAUUACCAUGUCUCGCAGGAAAAGAAACCUGAGCAAUUUCACGGCACAUUGCUAAAGCUUUACCUGCCUUAUCGCUCAGAGACACAGCUCAAGUCCAUAAACUUCCCCACUUACAAGUCCUUCCAUGACCAUGCAGGCGUUCAGCUACCUGGUUCACAGUACGCCGAGCUAGUGUCUGACAUUGUGAAACGAAACCGAGAGAAAUAUGAGAAACACAGGGAAGACAUCGAUAGUGCCAUCGCAGAGUACGAACAGAAUGGUUGCAUAAGAAACGAAUGGUGUAAUCUGGCUCCUGAAUGUGAACUGCAAAGGUUAGAGUGCAUUGAAGAACUUGACGCGAGACCAGCCGAUGAGGAUAACGUCCAAGAGAAUGUGCCAGACUACAACCUUAGGUCAGAAAAUAGACCAGAAGGUGCCAUCAUGAGUGAAGCCCCUGAGAUGGAUCCGACAGUGUUGAAAGAAAUGUAUCGAAGCUUAAACCAAAAGCAGGCGUCUGUUUUCUAUGCCGUCAGAGACUGGUGCAUAAAGCGUGUCUGUGGUUCAAAUGAAGAACGGUUCUUCUAUUAUAUCAAUGGCGGUGCAGGAACAGGCAAGUCCCACCUCAUCAAAUGCAUCCACGCAGAAGGAUCCAAAAUAUUGUCUCGACUUCCCCGUAACGCAGAAGAAAGCCGACAUUUCCAAACCUUCCGUACUCCUCACGGCUUUCACUGGUACUGCGGCGUUCAACAUAUCCGGCGUGACAUUGCAUAG